rnacentral:rRNA from 1 species
AUGAAUUGUAUUAGCUGGAACUGUCAAGGGCUUUGGAACCUCGAGGCAGUUCGUGAGCUUCGCAGUGUCAUGAAGCGGGAAGGGCCCGCCCUUCUUUUCGUUAUGGAAAUGAAGAUAAGGGGGAGGAGAGUGGAGAAUCUGAAAAGCUCAUUGGGCUUUGAGGGUUGUUUUGCAGUGGAUAACUAGGGACUCAGUGGUGGAAUUGGGCUCUUUUGGUCCAAGGAUAUUACCGUUGAGCUGAAAAACUACAAUGUCGGCCAUAUUGAUGCUAUGGUGCAUGAGGGAGUCCUGGAUUAG